AUUUGCUCGUUGCCUGGUUCGUCGCCUACUCUCGCCUCGGUGUCAUGAACCACAGAAUGGUAGAACUAGUGUUAGAGAGAGAAACAAUGCGACUAAUCCACUGUUAAAGAAAAAAAACUAAGCCGAUGGUGAAGCGUGGUUGACUACAGCUGUGCGGCUGCAUUCUACGGGUGAUGCAAUAUAUGUUACUGGUGUGGAGUC
rnacentral:lncRNA from 1 species